rnacentral:misc_RNA from 1 species
GUAGGUGAACCUGCGGAAGGAUCAUUCAUAAUAAGUGUUCUACUGCACUUUUUAAAAAUAGUACUCACCUUGUGUGCAAUAUUGUGUGAAUUUCACACCUACACCAACCUUCAAUUUGAACCACUUUGUCUGAAAAACUAUUAUGAAUACUUAAUUCAAAAUACAACUUUCAACAACGGAUCUCUUGGCUCUC